rnacentral:rRNA from 1 species
UCACGGCCGCCGGGGGGCAUCCGCUCCCGGGCCCGCGCCCGCCGAAGACACCAAUGAACUCUGUCUGAAGAUUGCAGUCUGAGCAGAUUAGCUAAAUCAGUUAAAACUUUCAACAACGGAUCUCUUGGUUCCGGCAUCGAUGAAGAACGCAGCGAAAUGCGAUACGUAAUGUGAAUUGCAGAAUUCAGUGAAUCAUCGAGUCUUUGAACGCACAUUGCGCCCCCUGGUAUUCCGGGGGGCAUGCCUGUCCGAGCGUCAUUGCUGCCCUCAAGCACGGCUUGUGUGUUGGGCUCCGCCCCCCGGCUCCCGGGGGGCGGGCCCGAAAGGCAGCGGCGGCACCGCGUCCGGUCCUCGAGCGUAUGGGGCUUCGUCACCCGCUCUGUAGGCCCGGCCGGCGCCCGCCGGCGACCCCAAUCAAUCUAUCCAGGUUGACCUCGGAUCAGGUAGGGAUACCCGCUGAACUUAAGCAUAUCAAUAAGCGG